UUUCUUCUUUAUUCAGCAUCUGGAACUGCAGUUUGACAAAGACCAGCUGUGCUUUUCUGGCCUCAGCUCUGAACUCCAACCCCUCCCAUCUGAGAGUGCUGUGGCUAAAUGAGAACAACCUGCAGGAUUCAGAUGUGAAGCUGCUGCGUGAUCUUAAGGAGAGUCCAAACUACAGUCUGGAGACUCUGAGAUGGAGGGACGAUGAUUCAGAGUGAUCAGAGAGAGGACGGUCUUCCUCCUGCUGGUCUGAGAGGUGGAAGCAGCAGCAGCUUGGAUGUGGUGAGUCCCUGACUGAGUCCUGUUCCUGACAGACUGACGGACCAAUCACAACAGGUGGAGGUGACUCUCAGUGCUGCGGUCUGAACUGCUCUGAGACCAGCUCCACUCUCAGACUCAGGACCUGGACCUCAGAGAUCUUCUUCCACUGACUCUGAACUGAAAUGACCUCCACAGGUUUGUUUUGUGGAGAACAAGAAGAAAAAUGAACACACUGAUUGAAACAUGUAAUCCUUUUAAAGUUGAUCCCAGCUUUCUGAGUCACUCUGCAGUUUUUCUGAUCACAUGGUUUCAGACUGAUGAAGAGACCAACCUGCAGCACUGCUUUCUGCCAGCAGGUGUCACUGUUUCCAGUGUUUUACAGACUGCUGGGUCUGAAUGGAUUCAUUAUCUGUUUGCAGAAAACACAAACAAUAAAUGUUAAAUCUCUCUGUG